rnacentral:rRNA from 1 species
CCCUUAGAUGUUCUGGGCCGCACGCGCGCUACACUGAUGCAUUCAACGAGUCUAAAACCUGCUCUGAUAGGGGUGGGUAAUCUUUUGAAUGUGCAUCGUGAUUGGGAUAGAUGAUUGCAAUUUUUCAUCUUCAACGAGGAAUGCCUAGUAAACGCAAGUCAUCAGCUUGCAUUGAUUACGUCCCUGCCCUUUGUACACACCGCCCGUCGCUCCUACCGAUUGAAUGAUCCGAUGAAUAUCAUAGAUUGAGGAUGCAAGUAGGUUCGCCUAUCUUCAUCUUCGAGAAGUGAAGUAAAUCUUAUCAUUUAGAGGAAGGAGAAGUCGUAACA